rnacentral:rRNA from 1 species
UACGGGAGGCAGCAGUGGGGAAUAUUGCACAAUGGGCGCAAGCCUGAUGCAGCCAUGCCGCGUGUAUGAAAAAGGCCUUCGGGUUGUAAAGUACUUUCAGUCGUGAGGAAGGUGUUAAGGUUAAUAACCUUAGCAAUUGACGUUAGCGACAGAAGAAACACCGGCUAACUCCGUGCCAGCAGCCGCGGUAAUACGGAGGGUGCGAGCGUUAAUCGGAAUUACUGGGCGUAAAGGGCACGCAGGCGGUUAAUUAAGUUGGAUGUGAAAUCCCCGGGCUUAACCUGGGAAUGGCAUUCAAGACUGGUUAGCUAGAGUCUUGUAGAGGGGGUAGAAUUCCAUGUGUAGCGGUGAAAUGCGUAGAGAUGUGGAGGAAUACCGGUGGCGAAGGCGGCCCCUGGACAAGACUGACGCUCAUGUGCGAAAGCGUGGGGAGCAAACAGGGAUUAGAUACC